UCCUACGGGAGGCAGCAGUGGGGAAUAUUGGACAAUGGGGGCAACCCUGAUCCAGCCAUGCCGCGUGUGUGAAGAAGGCCCUCGGGUUGUAAAGCACUUUCAGCGAGGAAGAACGCCUAGCGGUUAAUACCCGCUAGGAAAGACAUCACUCGCAGAAGAAGCACCGGCUAACUCCGUGCCAGCAGCCGCGGUAAUACGGAGGGUGCAAGCGUUAAUCGGAAUUACUGGGCGUAAAGCGCGCGUAGGUGGCUUGAUAAGCCGGUUGUGAAAGCCCCGGGUUCAACCUGGGAACGGCAUCCGGAACUGUCAAGCUAGAGUGCAGGAGAGGAAGGUAGAAUUCCCGGUGUAGCGGUGAAAUGCGUAGAGAUCGGGAGGAAUACCAGUGGCGAAGCCGGCCUUCUGGACUGACACUGACACUGAGGUGCGAAAGCGUGGGUAGCAAACAGGAUUAGAUACCCUGGUAGUCCACGCCGUAAACGAUGUCGACCAGCCGUUGGGUGCCUAGCGCACUUUGUGGCGAAGUUAACGCGAUAAGUCGACCGCCUGGGGAGUACGGCCGCAAGGUUAAAACUCAAAUGAAUUGACGG
rnacentral:rRNA from 1 species